rnacentral:rRNA from 1 species
UCUGGUAUGAAAGGUUUGACGAAGGAUCAACUGUCUCAAUUUAAUUGUUUUAGAAAUUUAUUUUUAAGUUAAAAAGCUUAAAUGUUUUUAAAAGACGAGAAGACCCUAUAGAGUUUUAUAAAAUUAUUUAGUUAAUACUUUUUAGUAUAUUUAGGGUUGGAUAGAUAAUUUUAUUUUGUUGGGGUGAUAGAAAAAUUUAACUAACUUUUUUUAAUUUUAACAAUGAUAUUUGAUUAAAUGAUCCGCUUUGGCGAUUACAAGAUUAAAUUACCUUAGGGAUAACAGCGA